CCUACGGGUGGCAGCAGUGGGGAAUAUUGGACAAUGGGCGAAAGCCUGAUCCAGCCAUGCCGCGUGUGUGAAGAAGGCCUUCGGGUUGUAAAGCACUUUCAGUGGGGAAGAAAGCCUUGGGGCUAAUACCCUCGAGGAAGGACAUCACCCACAGAAGAAGCACCGGCUAACUCCGUGCCAGCAGCCGCGGUAAUACGGAGGGUGCGAGCGUUAAUCGGAAUUACUGGGCGUAAAGCGCGCGUAGGCGGUCUGAUAAGCCGGUUGUGAAAGCCCCGGGCUCAACCUGGGAACGGCAUCCGGAACUGUCAGGCUAGAGUGCAGGAGAGGAAGGUAGAAUUCCCGGUGUAGCGGUGAAAUGCGUAGAGAGCGGGAGGAAUACCAGUGGCGAAGGCGGCCUUCUGGACUGACACUGACGCUGAGGUGCGAAAGCGUGGGUAGCAAACAGAAUUAGAUACCCCAGUAGUC
rnacentral:rRNA from 1 species